ACGGGGGGGGCAAGCGUUGUUCGGAAUUACUGGGCGUAAAGGGCUCGUAGGUGGCCAAUUAAGUCAGACGUGAAAUCCCCAGGCUUAACCUGGGAACUGCGUCUGAUACUGGUUGGCUUGAAUUCGGGAGAGGGAUGCAGAAUUCCAGGUGUAGCGGUGAAAUGCGUAGAUAUCUGGAGGAAUACCGGUGGCGAAGGCGGCAUCCUGGACCGAGAUUGACACUGAGGAGCGAAAGCCAGGGGAGCAAACGGG
rnacentral:rRNA from 1 species